GACGAACGCUGGCGGCGUGCUUAACACAUGCCAGUCGAACGGAAAGGCCCUGCUUUUGUUGGGUGCUCGAGUGGCGAACGCGUGAGUAACACGCGAGUAACCUGCCCUUGACUUUGGGAUAACUUCAGGAAACUGGGGCUAAUACCGGAUAGGAGCUCCUGCUGCAUGGUGGGGGUUGGAAAGUUUCGGCGGUUGUGGAUGGACUCGCGGCUUAUCAGCUUGUUGGUGGGGUAGUGGUUUACCAAGGCUUUGACGGGUAGCCGGCCUGAGAGGGUGACCGGCCACAUUGGGACUGAGAUACGGCCCAGACUCCUACGGGAGGCAGCAGUGGGGAAUAUGGCACAGUGGGCGGAAGCCUGAUGCAGCAACGCCGCGUGCGGGAUGACGGCCUUCGGGUUGUAAACCGCUUUCGCCUGUGACGAAGCGUGAGUGACGGUAAUGGGUAAAGAAGCACCGGCUAACUACGUG
rnacentral:rRNA from 1 species